GACUUUGCUCCGGAAGUGAACCCCGCGGUUUCCCGCCCUUACAUCCUCACCCCCGCCAUCUUAGCGCUUGACCGCGUUGGCCUCGGCAAGCACCUUUGAGGUGGGAGAAAAAAAAAACAAUUCCAUUUCAAUUUAACGUCCAGCAAUCGCGUUGUCAUUGUUGAAGCCGAGCCCGGUUGACAUCAAGAGAUUUGUGUGGUUUCAGAGUGGAAAGAGACCAAUGCCUAAAGUCAGUCCACCAAAAAGUGACAAAAGAAAUGAUGAUUCAAAGAGGCGGUCUCCUGAGCGGUCAUCGGGCCAAGACUCGAGGCACCGCUCGACCCGUGAUAAGUCCCGGUCACCCUCGUCUCGCGAUGGCCACCGCGACUCAUCAGCAAGGAGUGGCAGAGAAAAGCGUGCCAGCCGGGAGCGCCGUGACGACCGCAGGCGUUCAAAGGAGGGGUCACGCGAGCGGAGAGCCUCGCGGGAGAGGGAUGACAGGAGGGUGCCACGGCUUUUCCCAUCCCGGGACAGGAUGGUCUCGCGGAAUGAGCGGCCUGUGUUCCAUGGCGGUCCCCAUUACAUAAUGAACAGCAAACCACUUAUGGGCAGCAUGCCUGGCCGGGGUGGAAUGCCUUGCAGAGGGGGGAUGCCCAAUAGGGGUGGCAUGGGGGGCAUGCACGGC